rnacentral:rRNA from 1 species
AUGAACGCUGGCGGCGUGCUUAACACAUGCAAGUCGAACGGAGAUGUUGUGUGAGCGGAGAGUGCUUGCACUUAACAAUCUUUCAACAUCUUAGUGGCGGACGGGUGAGUAACGCGUGGGUAACCUGCCUCAUACAGGGGGACAACAGUUGGAAACGACUGCUAAUACCGCAUAAGCCCACACUACCGCAUGGUAGAGUGAGAAAAGAUUUUAUCGCUUUAAGAUGAGCUCGCGUCUGAUUAGCUAGUUGGUGGGGUAACGGCCUACCAAGGCAACGAUCAGUAGCCGGACUGAGAGGUUGAUCGGCCACAUUGGGACUGAGACACGGCCCAGACUCCUACGGGAGGCAGCAGUGGGGAAUAUUGCACAAUGGAGGAAACUCUGAUGCAGCGACGCCGCGUGAGGGAAGAAGGUAUUCGUAUUGUAAACCUCUGUCUUCGGGGACGAUAAUGACGGUACCCGAGGAGGAAGCACCGGCUAACUACGUG